rnacentral:rRNA from 1 species
AGUGAACGCUGGCGGUAGGCCUAACACAUGCAAGUCGAACGGCAGCACAGUAAGAGCUUGCUCUUACGGGUGGCGAGUGGCGGACGGGUGAGGAAUACAUCGGAAUCUACUUUUUCGUGGGGGAUAACGUAGGGAAACUUACGCUAAUACCGCAUACGACCUACGGGUGAAAGCAGGGGAUCUUCGGACCUUGCGCGAUUGAAUGAGCCGAUGUCGGAUUAGCUAGUUGGCGGGGUAAAGGCCCACCAAGGCGACGAUCCGUAGCUGGUCUGAGAGGAGGAUAGGCCACACUGGAACUGAGACACGGUCCAGAGUCCUACGGGAGGCAGCAGUGGGGAAUAUUGGACAAUGGGCGCAAGCCUGAUCCAGCCAUACCGCGUGGGUGAAGAAGGCCUUCGGGUUGUAAAGCCCUUUUGUUGGGAAAGAAAAGCAGCAGGUUAAUACCCCGCUGUUCUGACGGUACCCAAAGAAUAAGCACCGGCUAACUUCGUG